AGUUAUUGCUGUGACUGAAUCGAUGAUUUAGAGGGUCGUCUCAACGAAAGAUAGAGAAAUUUGGCCAUAGUUUAGAUUAGGAAUACGUCAAUGUAAUAAUAGUGGACUAAAUGUUUCGUCCGUGCAGAAUGGCACUUUUUACCUCACGAAAUUCACCACCAUGCAUAUCUGCGCUACGUAAACAAAGUUGUUGAUGUAGCGUGAUCGUGAUGUCCGAGUGCUGCGAGUUUCAAUACUGUUUAUGUAGUCAUUGAGAGUUUAAACAAAGUUUCUUCUGAGAAGAGGAAUUCGAUGGAUGCAUUCAACGUGGACAACGAAAUCAUAAUUUCGUUUGCAUCAUUCUAAGGACCAGUGCAAGUUGAAAUGGGCUUCCAGCCAACAACUUCAACAGCAAUUUGCCAUGAAAAUCAGCAAGAAAGGUACUUCAUUUACAUUGAUGAUGUCAUAUCCCCUGGACCCCACAACUUUACAGGUUACAGAGAAAAUUCAAGAACUUCUGCAAAAUGUGGGACUUGGAUAGAAUCAAUAAUGUAUUUGUGAGCCCCAAAGCAAUGGAUAUAUUGUGCAACAUACUAAAGUGUGAAUUUAAUGGAAAACAAAUACAUGUACUCAUGUAUUACAUGUCUUUUUUAAAGACAAUAAUAUUGUAUAAAUAUAGAGGAAGUGUCAUUGUUGAUUAUUCUAAGUUUUUGAUAUAUCAAAAUCAGUAAACAUUUCUAAAUG